rnacentral:rRNA from 1 species
AGAGUUUGAUCCUGGCUCAGGACGAACGCUGGCGGCGUGCCUAAUACAUGCAAGUCGAACGGUUCUUUCUUUUGGAAGCUUGCUUCCGAUCGAGAGAAUAGUGGCGGACGGGUGAGUAACACGUGGGUAACCUGCCCAUAAGAGGGGGAUAACAUCCGGAAACGGGUGCUAAUACCGCAUAGUUUUGAUCACAUGAUCGAGAAAGGGGCCUUUGUGCUGUCGCUUAUGGAUGGACCCGCGGCGUAUUAGUUAGUUGGUGAGGUAAUGGCUCACCAAGACGAUGAUACGUAGCCGACCUGAGAGGGUGAUCGGCCACAUUGGGACUGAGACACGGCCCAAACUCCUACGGGAGGCAGCAGUAGGGAAUCUUCCGCAAUGGACGAAAGUCUGACGGAGCAACGCCGCGUGAGUGUUUUCGGAUCGUAAAACUCUGUUGUCAGAGAAGAACAAGGUAACUGCUUUUCCCUUGACGGUAUCUGACCAGAAAGCCACGGCUAACUACGUGCCAGCAGCCGCGGUAAUACGUAGGUGGCAAGCGUUGUCCGGAUUUAUUGGGCGUAAAGCGAGCGCAGGUGGUUCUUUAAGUCUGAUGUGAAAGCCCACGGCUCAACCGUGGAAGGUCAUUGGAAACUGGGGAACUUGAGUGCAGAAGAGGAGAGUGGAAUUCCAUGUGUAGCGGUGAAAUGCGUAGAUAUAUGGAGGAACACCCAGUGGCGAAAGCGACUCUCUGGUCUGUAACUGACACUGAGCUCGAAAGCGUGGGGGAGCAAACAGGAUUAGAUACCCUGGUAG